rnacentral:misc_RNA from 1 species
CAGCGUCUCUACUCAUCAUUUUCUUUUUACCCUUCUCUCUCCUUUAUCCUUACCUUUUAUUGGGUGCACUUCCAUGGAAUGAGAGGAGCUUCUCGGUCUCCUUAUUGGGUUGGACAUGGCUUCCACUUGCUUCAUCUGCCUCUGGUUUAACAACCUUUGGUGGUUGCACUUCCAUAGCGGAAAUCAGGUUACUGUAUAUUUUGGGGAAG